GUUAUAUGGUCAAGUGAAGAAGCGCAUACGGUGGAUGCCUUGGCAGUCAGAGGCGAUGAAAGACGUGGUAGCCUGCGAAAAGCUUCGGGGAGUCGGCAAACAGACUGUGAUCCGGAGAUGUCUGAAUGGGGGAACCCAGCCAUCAUAAGAUGGUUAUCUUGUACUGAAUACAUAGGUGCAAGAGGCGAACCAGGGGAACUGAAACAUCUAAGUACCCUGAGGAAAAGAAAUCAACCGAGAUUCCCUUAGUAGUGGCGAGCGAACGGGGACCAGCCCUUAAGUUGUAUUGAGAUUAGCGGAACACUCUGGAAAGGGUGGCCAUAGUGGGUGAUAGCCCUGUACGCGAAAAUCCCUUUGCAAUGAAAUCGAGUAGGACGGGGCACGAGAAACCUUGUCUGAAUAUGGGGGGACCAUCCUCCAAGGCUAAAUACUACUGACUGACCGAUAGUGAACCAGUACCGUGAGGGAAAGGCGAAAAGAACCGCGGAGAGCGGAGUGAAAUAGAUCCUGAAACCGUAUGCGUACAAGCAGUGGGAGCCCACUUUGUUGGGUGACUGCGUACCUUUUGUAUAAUGGGUCAGCGACUUAUUUUCAGUGGCGAGCUUAACCGAAUAGGGGAGGCGUAGCGAAAGCGAGUCUUAAUAGGGCGUCUAGUCGCUGGGAAUAGACCCGAAACCGGGCGAUCUAUCCAUGGGCAGGUUGAAGGUUGGGUAACACUAACUGGAGGACCGAACCGACUACCGUUGAAAAGUUAGCGGAUGACCUGUGGAUCGGAGUGAAAGGCUAAUCAAGCUCGGAGAUAGCUGGUUCUCCUCGAAAGCUAUUUAGGUAGCGCCUCAUGUAUCACUGUAGGGGGUAGAGCACUGUUUCGGCUAGGGGGUCAUCCCGACUUACCAAACCGAUGCAAACUCCGAAUACCUACAAGUGCCGAGCAUGGGAGACACACGGCGGGUGCUAACGUCCGUCGUGAAAAGGGAAACAACCCAGACCGUCAGCUAAGGUCCCAAAGUCAUGGUUAAGUGGGAAACGAUGUGGGAAGGCUUAGACAGCUAGGAGGUUGGCUUAGAAGCAGCCACCCUUUAAAGAAAGCGUAAUAGCUCACUAGUCGAGUCGGCCUGCGCGGAAGAUGUAACGGGGCUCAAACCAUGCACCGAAGCUACGGGUAUCAUCUUAGGAUGAUGCGGUAGAGGAGCGUUCUGUAAGCCUGUGAAGGUGAGUUGAGAAGCUUGCUGGAGGUAUCAGAAGUGCGAAUGCUGACAUGAGUAACGACAAUGGGUGUGAAAAACACCCACGCCGAAAGACCAAGGUUUCCUGCGCAACGUUAAUCGACGCAGGGUUAGUCGGUCCCUAAGGCGAGGCUGAAAAGCGUAGUCGAUGGAAAACAGGUUAAUAUUCCUGUACUUCUGGUUAUUGCGAUGGAGGGACGGAGAAGGCUAGGCCAGCCUGGCGUUGGUUGUCCAGGUUUAAGGUGGUAGGCUGAGAUCUUAGGUAAAUCCGGGAUCUUAAGGCCGAGAGCUGAUGACGAGUGUUCUUUUAGAACACGAAGUGGUUGAUGCCAUGCUUCCAAGAAAAGCUUCUAAGCUUCAGGUAACCAGGAACCGUACCCCAAACCGACACAGGUGGUUGGGUAGAGAAUACCAAGGCGCUUGAGAGAACUCGGGUGAAGGAACUAGGCAAAAUGGCACCGUAACUUCGGGAGAAGGUGCGCCGGUGGAGGUGAAGCAUUUACUGCGUAAGCCCCUGCCGGUCGAAGAUACCAGGCCGCUGCGACUGUUUAUUAAAAACACAGCACUCUGCAAACACGAAAGUGGACGUAUAGGGUGUGACGCCUGCCCGGUGCCGGAAGGUUAAUUGAUGGGGUUAGCGCAAGCGAAGCUCUUGAUCGAAGCCCCGGUAAACGGCGGCCGUAACUAUAACGGUCCUAAGGUAGCGAAAUUCCUUGUCGGGUAAGUUCCGACCUGCACGAAUGGCGUAACGAUGGCGGCGCUGUCUCCACCCGAGACUCAGUGAAAUUGAAAUCGCUGUGAAGAUGCAGUGUAUCCGCGGCUAGACGGAAAGACCCCGUGAACCUUUACUAUAGCUUUGCACUGGACUUUGAAUUUGCUUGUGUAGGAUAGGUGGGAGGCUUUGAAGCGUGGACGCCAGUCUGCGUGGAGCCAACCUUGAAAUACCACCCUGGCAACUUUGAGGUUCUAACUCAGGUCCGUUAUCCGGAUCGAGGACAGUGUAUGGUGGGUAGUUUGACUGGGGCGGUCUCCUCCUAAAGAGUAACGGAGGAGUACGAAGGUGCGCUCAGACCGGUCGGAAAUCGGUCGUAGAGUAUAAAGGCAAAAGCGCGCUUGACUGCGAGACAGACACGUCGAGCAGGUACGAAAGUAGGUCUUAGUGAUCCGGUGGUUCUGUAUGGAAGGGCCAUCGCUCAACGGAUAAAAGGUACUCCGGGGAUAACAGGCUGAUACCGCCCAAGAGUUCAUAUCGACGGCGGUGUUUGGCACCUCGAUGUCGGCUCAUCACAUCCUGGGGCUGAAGCCGGUCCCAAGGGUAUGGCUGUUCGCCAUUUAAAGUGGUACGCGAGCUGGGUUUAGAACGUCGUGAGACAGUUCGGUCCCUAUCUGCCGUGGACGUUUGAGAUUUGAGAGGGGCUGCUCCUAGUACGAGAGGACCGGAGUGGACGAACCUCUGGUGUUCCGGUUGUCACGCCAGUGGCAUUGCCGGGUAGCUAUGUUCGGAAAAGAUAACCGCUGAAAGCAUCUAAGCGGGAAACUUGCCUCAAGAUGAGAUCUCACUGGAACCUUGAGUUCCCUGAAGGGCCGUCGAAGACUACGACGUUGAUAGGUUGGGUGUGUAAGCGCUGUGAGGCGUUGAGCUAACCAAUACUAAUUGCCCGUGAGGCUUGACCAUAUAACACCCAAGCAAUU
rnacentral:rRNA from 2 species